UCUGCAGAGAUGCGGAAGUGCCUUCGGGAACUGUGAGACAGGUGCUGCAUGGCUGUCGUCAGCUCGUGUUGUGAAAUGUUGGGUUAAGUCCCGCAACGAGCGCAACCCUUAUCCUUUGUUGCCAGCGAUUAGGUCGGGAACUCAAAGGAGACUGCCAGUGAUAAACUGGAGGAAGGUGGGGAUGACGUCAAGUCAUCAUGGCCCUUACGACCAGGGCUACACACGUGCUACAAUGGCGCAUACAAAGAGAAGCGACCUCGCGAGAGCAAGCGGACCUCAUAAAGUGCGUCGUAGUCCGGAUUGGAGUCUGCAACUCGACUCCAUGAAGUCGGAAUCGCUAGUAAUCGUGGAUCAGAAUGCCACGGUGAAUACGUUCCCGGGCCUUGUACACACCGCCCGUCACACCAUGGGAGUGGGUUGCAAAAGAAGUAGGUAGCUUAACCUUCGGGAGGGCGCUUACCACUUUGUGAUUCAUGACUGGGGUGAAGUCGUAACAAGGUAACCGUAGGGGAACCUGCGGUUGGAUCACCUCCUUACCUGAAAGAA
rnacentral:rRNA from 1 species